rnacentral:tRNA from 1 species
UGGGGCAUAGCCAAGCGGCAAGGCACCGGUUUUUGAUACCGGCAUCCCUGGUUCGAAUCCAGGUGCCCCAG